UAGGGAAUCUUCGGCAAUGGACGAAAGUCUGACCGAGCAACGCCGCGUGAGUGAAGAAGGUUUUCGGAUCGUAAAACUCUGUUGGUAGAGAAGAACGUUGGUGAGAGUGGAAAGCUCAUCAAGUGACGGUAACUACCAGAAGGGACGGCUAACUACGUGCCGG
rnacentral:rRNA from 1 species